rnacentral:rRNA from 1 species
UACGUAGGAGGCGAGCGUUGUCCGGAUUCACUGGGCGUAAAGGGCGCGUAGGCGGCGGCUUGAGUCCCUGCGUGAAAUCUCCCGGCUCAACCGGGAGGGUGCGCGGGGAUACUGGGCGGCUUGAGGACAUCAGAGGAGAGCGGAAUCCCCGGUGUAGUGGUGAAAUGCGUAGAUAUGAUGUAGAACACCGAUGCGAAGGCAGCUCACUAAGCUGUAACUGACACUGAGGCACGAAAGCGUGGGUAGCGAACAGG